rnacentral:misc_RNA from 1 species
CAGCAACUGAGGCAAUGGAGCACCGCCAUGUUGUGUGGAAGGUGCGACGGUUAACAGACGAUUUAUAUUUUCCCGGAUAUAUUCUUUGUUGUGUAUCGUUAUCGAUGGAAUUUCUUUAGAAGCUGUAGACAUAGAUGAAGAGGACCAGUCCUGUACAAACCCUUGCUUCAUUGGCAACAACAAUAGCCAACACCAACUUCAAUCAAGUUCAUUAUCGUCAUCUUCAUCGUUAUCUUCGUCAUCCUCGACCAACAGUCUGUUUACAACAACCAGUAUUCCAACAUUAUCAUCAUCUACAGUCAACUUUGUCACUGCCAACACUUUGUACAACACGACCCUCAAAGCCGGUUUGGUUGGCCCUUCUUCUGCUACUUCAACAACUACCGAUACAUCUCAGACUCCGAACACACCUGACGGAACUAAUAUCAAGACAAGCAACAAUUUCAUCCAAACUUCAAAAGAACCCAAACCCCCAAGUGUCAACCAUACUUUUACCAACGGAAGAAUGGCUGACCAUGUGGGGAUUAACACUGGGACUUCGAAUCCCAAACGAGUCAAAGCUAUGCACAAUUUCAAAGGCUCCAACAAUGAUGAAUUGGUCUUCCAGAAAGGUGAUCUUAUCACGGUAACCCAGGUAGUCGAUGGUGGAUGGUGGGAAGGUACUCUAAAUGGUAAAACUGGCUGGUUCCCAAGUAACUAUGUGAAAGAGUAUAAACCUGAUCCCGUGUCUAGUCCACCAAAACUUACUCCACCUGAUGUCAAAAGUACAUUAGAAAACAACCGAGAAAAUACAAAUUUUUAUCAUAAUGUUGUACUUGAAAAUGUAGUUGAAACAGAAGAGAAACAUGUUGGGGAGAUGCGAACAUUACUUCAGAAAUAUAUUCGACCAUUACGAAACAAUAAUGUAUUAACUCAGGCAGAAUUUAGUCAACUCACUGGUAAUCUUGAAGAGAUUUUUGCUUUUCAACAAAAAUUUUUAUCUUCUUUAGAAGAAGUUAAUACGCUUCCUUCUGUCCAACGACGUAUGGGCGGAGUAUUUAUGGAACAUGCUUCCACUCUAAAAGAACUUUACUUGGUUUACUGUUCUAAUCACCCGUCUGCUGUUGCUAUUUUACAAGCGAAGUGGGAAGAACUUAACAAAUUUAUGGAAUACCUUGGUGCUCCUGUUCCUGGUGCAAUGACCUUAACUACAAAUCUUUCUAAACCAUUCACACGUCUUGAUAAAUAUCCAAGCUUGCUUAGGGAAUUGGAAACUCAUAUAGAGGAAUGUCAUGUUGACCGAGGUGACACUCAGCGAGCUAUUGCAGUUUAUAGAGAUAUAUCAAAUUCCUGUACUGAAGUUAGAAAGCGGAAAGAGAUGGAGUAUGAAAUUAUCCACAGCAGCAUUAAGGGUUGGGAAGGAGAAGAAAUUACGCAACUUGGUGAAGUUGUCUAUUUGUCACAAGUUAAACUAAUUACACUCACUGGUGAAAAAUUGGAUCGCGUAUUUGUUUUAUUCCAGAAUGUACUUGUAAUGUUGUCUUUAGGCCCAAGGUUGAGUGGCUACCAUUAUGAGGGGCAGCUGAAGUUGAGUGGGUUGUCUGUAAAUAAAUCUGAAGUCGAAAAUAUGCCUAAUAGCUAUGAAAUCACUGGUAAUCUCAUCGAUAAACUGACUGUGUUAUGUACCACAAGAAAUGAACUGAACCAUUGGGUAGAAAUGUUGUGUCAACAAAUCAAAAAUUCACAAACAAACAGAUUGAAACCGCAAAGCUUACAGUUGCUGGAAUUAAAGGCUUUGGCUCCAGAUAGUGAUAAGAUCUCAUCUUCACAGCCCAGUAUCAGUAUGCUAACACAGGCAAAAACAGCUAAAAUGACACAGCCACCAUUACAGACCAAAAUGUAUAAAACUUGGAGUAUGUCCUGUUUACGUCCAGCUCCACCCAUGAGGCCUUCUGCAUCAGAAAGAGAUGCUCUGAAAAGUCCGCGCUCAGGAAGAAAGCCAGGAAUGAGAAGAAAACCAGAAAUAAAGAAAAAAGCAAUUAUGGAAGAUUUAAAGCGCUCCCAUUCUGAAGACGAAUACGACUACAGGUGGAAACGAUAUGACCCUGUGAAAUCAGAAGACGACCAGAUAAUCUUGCGAGUAAUUGAAGCAUACUGCACAAGCGCAAAGACCCGACAAACAGUGAAUUCCUGUGCCAGCAGCAAUAUAUAGCCCCCAUGUGCUUAUCGCUGAAGAGGAAAAAAUAAUUGAUGAUGUGGACGGGGAAGAAUUCGUCUUCAAGGAAAAGGGACUGGUUGACACAGUGUACACUUUGAAAGAUCAUCUGAAAGAAUUAAGUCUGGUGC